GGGUGAGACCUGAGUGCUUGGGGUGUUGCUGAGCGUGCUCGCGAGCAGGCUGUGCUGGAUCUGCGGGUCCUCGCGCGGGGAGAGGGUCUGGUAAACAGACCCUUGGGACACCGCGGGAGGAACGCCGUUAGGCACGUGUCCCUGUGCAAUCAGAGCUCGGAGGAAAAGGCUACCGAAGUCGGCCUGCAGGUGGUCGGGGAGGCUUCCUGAGAAGGCGGGCGGACGUGCUGGGGGUCCCGCCCACCUUUCCUGGGAACUACACGUCCUGGAACACGUCGCCGUCUCUGUCCCGGGCUGUGCAGGUAGGCCAGCCCAUUCCCGGGACGGCCACGGGGCCGGGAGCCCAGCUCAGCCAGAGAUGGGGACAAGGGUGAGGUCACAGGGAAAACACCCCUCUCCCAGCCCCCUCACCUCCCAGAGGGAACGCUUGCCCCCGAGGUCCCAGUGCUGAACGCCAGGCACCCAUGGUGGCGACGGUCCCCUCCCCACGCCCACCAGUGCUUCCGGAAGCAGCCUCUAAGGGCAGUCUGGAUCUCCAGCUCUGGUCUCUGGAACCCCAAGUGUCAGACGUGACAGGCUCACCACACACCACCCCUGCGUGGGGACCCACGUCCCGGACUUGAGAACGGGCCUGGCUAUGAGGCGGAAUCGGGGAAAGGGCAUGUCGCACAGAGACGGGUGUGCAGGCCGCAAUCCCGCCUGUGUUACGAAAGCCUGUGUCUACACAGAGAUGGCCCGAGGAGAUACACGACAUCCUUGUUAUGGUUUUCAUCGGCUCCCAGACGGGAAGGAGGCUGGGCAGAGCCGUGGCGCGUCCGUACGCGGAACCCCACGAGCAGAAAGAAGGAACCGACCACGGGUCUGUGCCGGCAUCCCACGACGCGUCAGAAACACGCGGAGAGAAAUCGGUCCCGCGCAGAAGAGCGUGUGCUCCACCCCCCCGGCCCAUGACGGGCUGGGAGAGGCAACGCUCACAGCAGACAGCGGGUGCCUCUGGGGGUGAGGGCAGAGAUCGGCCGGGCAGGGGCGUGAGGGAACUUUCUGGGCGACGGGCAUGCUUCGUAUCCUGGUAGGGUUUGGAUGAGGUGGGGGCGGGGCGGGCGUCAGAUUGUGUUGUUAAAAUACAGACAUUUCACUGAAUGUAUCUUGUCCCCACAAGGAACCCGCACAAAUAUUAACCCCAGUUAAUGAUGUGUGUGCAGGGCUGUCUACUGGUAACAGCAGCCUCCCGUCCUGGGCAGGAAAACGUAAGAUGGAUGGCCGAGUGACCGAGGGACAGAGACAGGAAGUGGCGUGCGAUGAGGCAAAUGCGGGGAAGGGGAAUCAUAGCAUCCGGGGGUGCAAAGAGGGCGUCCGCGGCACAGCCGUGCCGACUUUUCCACCUGUUUGAGGGUUGUCGUAAUAAAAUGUUGGGGGUGGCGGGGAGAGACCGUGGCACCAGCCCAGGGUGCGUGCGCUGCAGGGUCUGAGGGUGGGGACGCUCGUUCGGGCUCAUGUUGAGAAGCCUAACGAAGACGCGGCCCGGAGUCAUGCUAAGUGGCCGAGAACACGUCCGUCAGUACGUCAAGCUGUUGCCAUCGUCUGAGCGUGUCCCCACCCGAGCAGGCGGGUCCCCAGGAUGGGUGUGCUUGGAGACACAUACAAAAAGCAGGGAUGCCAGGGUCCGGGGGUGAGGGUCCCAGGAGACAGGGACAGAUAGCCAAGAUGGCCUGAGUUACUGGUAGGCGUGGACCAAGCUUCUGGGCCGUAGACGUGAUGGCUUCGGGCGUUCACAGGACAGGUGGCCUGCCCUGUGCCCUCCCCUUUUGUUGGUGGCCACGCACUGGGAAACAAGAGGGAGGCCCGCGCAAGAUCUUAGACACCUAACACUGCGAGCCGAGUGGGCGCCCCCUCCCCGUGAGACCCAGGAGACAGAGCUGGGGACGGGGAGGGCGCAGCGCACGGCACCCCCUCUGCAGGGGUCCUGCCUCCAGAAGCAGCGCCCACUUACCCCGCAGGCAGCAGUGGACCCCCCAGCGGAAUUCGCUUCCACCCUCUGGAUGGUAUCCCCGGAUACCGAGCGUGGCUUCGGCCGUUCCGGAUUCCCAGUGUGGUUUCUCCGCUCACUGACAACGGUGAGACCUGCCCGCGGAGCAACUUGAACCUCCUCUUCGAGAGAAACGGAGAGGACGGCCCUCCCGGGACGCCGCAGAGAGCCGUGGGCUCCGUCGGAAGAUGGCCCGAGGAUGCUCCCGUCCUCCGAGGAAACGCCGCGGCUCGGACGCCAGGCCGCUGCCCUGGGACCGCGGGAAGACAGGAGGGCGCGUCUGCUGAGGCUGGUGGCUGGAGGGGCGCCAGGGGCGCUUCUGGGGGAGUAACGUUGUUUCUGGAGCUGAGCACACGCGUGUCACCUGGGGAAGGACGGUCACGCCGCACAGUUGUGACUCACGUGUGUCCUUCUCCACGUGGACCUUCUGCUUCAAUAAGCAGUCCCCCAAAGUACAGUAUCCACAGUCGUAAGCCGGGAGAACACCCCGGAAAGCUCAGAGAUUACUUUAUUACUUUUUAACUUUUUUCUUUUUUUUUUUAGCCAGGGUUUUGCUUAAUUUUUUCAAAUUAAAGAGGAAAUAAAUCAC
rnacentral:lncRNA from 1 species